AUUGAACGCUAGCGGGAUGCUUUACACAUGCAAGUCGAACGAGUGGCAGACGGGUGAGUAAUAUAUCGGAACGUGCCCAGUAGCGGGGGAUAACUACUCGAAAGCGUGGCUAAUACCGAAUAACAUUGGUGCGGCCGAUAUCGGAUUAGGUAGUUGGUGGGGUAAAGGCUCACCAAGCCAACGAUCCGUAGUUGGUUUGAGAGGACGACCAGCCCCACUGAGACUUAGACACGGCCCAGACUCCUACGGGAGGCAGCAGUGGGGAAUUUUGGACAAUGGGGGAAACCCUGAUCCAGCCAUCCCGCGUGUAUGAGAAGGCCUUCGGGUUGUAAAGUACUUUUGGCAGAGAAGCGGUAUCUGCAGAAUAAGCACCGGCUAACUACGUGCCAGCAGCCGCGGUAAUUC
rnacentral:rRNA from 1 species